rnacentral:lncRNA from 1 species
UGAUCAUUAAUCUUGAUGAUAAUUAUUAUACUUAUCAUCUUGGGAGCUUAAGUAUAACCUAGAAACAUAGGUCUAAUAAUAAAAUAUGACCAACUAAAAAUGCUUAUUGCAGUCAAACCAAGUCAAGCCUUUUGAGCCUUGCAUCCCCUCAUGUUAUACUUGUUGAGUAUGGUGCGGUCACACUUGCUUUACAUUCAACAAUCAAAAAUCCCGAAUGGGUACCAGAUGGUGAUACAAAGGCGGAGUUCCUUGAGAUGUUCCAGGAGUACUAGGCGAGUGUACCCCCAGUCAACCGUCCCUGUGGAAAAUGGAGACCCAAAGUGAAGAAUAGGAUCAGUUUCCGCUAUGCUUUGUAAUAGAUGUAAGCCCAUGUUGUAACUAUGUUUCGAUAUAUAAUAAAGCAUUGUUCUUGAUAUUCUCCAUAUUUGUCGCUAUAUGUGUCGUGUGGACAUCCUGGGCACACAUAUAGUUAGCGCUUGGUCUUCUUUGGAAAACCAGGUGCGACAACAGUACUACAAGCCCAAUCUGUCAAGCAAUCACAACCCACUUCCACGUUACAAUGUCGACGAAAAUGAAUCGACUCUAAGUUUUUUCCAUGGACAACUCGGUAGUGCAAGUGCAUCCACCGUGAAGAUUUUGACAAAUAACGAAUGGCGCAGUAUCAUGCUAUACUUGUUCAACAACCUUACUGAGGUGCAACCGUUUAUCGGGGAAUUUGUUCGUGAAUCUUGGAAUGAACCAAGAGAUCCAACCCCGCAAGAACAAGACAUCCUUCUAUCCCGGGGCCCGGGAGCGGAUAGGCCUGAUUUCAUUUCUUGGUUCAAACAAAAGGCCCGGACCGACUCGUCCAUGAGUGUCUAGUUGAAACAAGUUGCAAACGGUUGCCAAGUUAGGGUGAAGUCAUUUACCGGAUAUGAUGUGAACGGUUAUCGCUUCCACACAACAAGAUACGAGAAUAUCCGGCCCAAUCGGAAAACCACAAAUAGUGGAGUUUGUACUCCCGCCACUGAUGGCCUCGACUACCAUGGAAGAGUUGAGGACAUCUACCAACUUGAAUUUGAUGGUGACAAACCUCUGAAACCUGUCAUGUUUAAAUGCCACUGGUUUAAUCCUCGCGAAACGAGACUCACCCCUAGUCUUGGGCGAGUCGAGGUGCGAGAAGAUUCUGUAUAUCCGGGAAAGGAUAUCUACAUUGUGGCUCAACAGGCCGUGCAGGUGUAUUACACGAGAUAUGCGAAUCAAGCCAAACAAGAGCUUCAGGGGUGGGCUAUUGUGCACCAGGUUUCUCCACACGGGAAACUCCCAGCCCCAAACGAUGACGAUUACAACUUUAACACAAACACAUAUGAUGGAGAGUUCUAUCAGGAAGAUGGGCUGUCGGGGACACUUCAGAUACUCCUACCUCAGGCCCUCGAAAUGGAAGAAGACAUCGAAACGGUUGAUGACGAGGAUGAUGGAGACGUGGUGCAAAAUGCCAAGGACAUACAAAUGCUUGAGCGAUUACUUGUCGCUCGUGAUGAAGACGAAGACGAUGACGUAGGACCUUCGGAUAGUGUCGCUUAUUUGGAUAAUAUUGACAGUGAUGACGAGACCUAUAAUCCCAAUCACGAGGACUAUUCGUAAUACAUGUAAUACUAUGUCUUUUUUAAAUUAUUGACAUUUUUGUUUUGUUUAUUUAUUUUCAAGUCUCUAAUAUGCUUACUAAUAAGUCUUGUUUCAUUCUUUGUGUGUGCAGGUGUUUGAUCAAAGAUGGCGAGCAGGCGGCCACGACGUGACACACCCUCGGCCUACGCCAGACGCCCUUCCCUCACUGGCGAGGCAGAGUCGUCAGGGGCAGCCACCGCAGGACGCCGCAGGAGGGGGAGGCCUUCCACGACGAGUACCAGCCAGGGGCGUAGGAGGCCGCGGAGUCCCACCCCAGACCCCGUGGCUCCGACGCUGGAGGAGGAGUACCAGGAGGACGAGGACCAGGACGAGGACCAGGUCGAGGGCCAGGACGAGGGCCAUGACGAGGAGCACGGCGCGGCGCCCGAGGACGAGGGAGGCGCGGCGUCGGGUGUCUACCAGCGAGGUCCCGCGAAGCUCCCUCCAUACCCACUACCUCAGAGUCGGGCACUGCUUCGCCCCAUACCGCCCAAGUAAGUAAAUCUAAAUGAUAUCACAACUACCUCAUCUGAUAGGUUUGAGGGUUUAGAGAGAAACUGACUAUUUUUUUCUAACUGGUGCAGGUCUUGGGAUCUGGUGUCGCGUACUCCCGUGCGCGCUCCCCCGACCAUCCUGGGUACCCUGUGCCGGAAGUACUUCCCCAGCCUCGUGGAGUUGGCGUCGGGGGCCCGCGAGCCGGCCACCACCUGGGACAGGUACGCUUUAGGGGAGGACGACACGUACCGCAACCCCCAGGAGAGGAUACUGGCCGAGUUUUGGGUAAGUUCCUUUCGCACAACACUAAUUAAUCCAUUACAUUAAAAUCUAUUUUUUAAAUAAUGAUUGGAUGUAUUAUCAUUUGUGCAGAGGUACUUCAGGGUGGAGGACGAAGACGUGGCCCUGGCUGAGUCUGUGGCGCACGCCUCCUGUAGGAAGUAUGUCACCGACAUGCACCACGAGGCGCGCGUCCAGGCAGUGAUAGACUUCUAUGCGUCGGCGCGUAGUAUGACUAUCACGAAGGCUCAGGCGCGGACGAUGACCCAGGAGCAGUACCUGGAGGUAGAUGAAUAACAUUCAGAUUGUCUCUUUUUUGAAUUUAAUAUAUUCAAUUAUAUCUUCAUAUCUGUCAAACACUCAUUGUCUUGUAGGUGAUUCCCUGGUGGUGUCGGGCACAUGCCGAUGCCUGGGCCGCGAUCGUGGGUAGGUGGUUCACGCAGGACUACCUAGACAGGCAUGAGUCUCAGCGGGCACUGCGUCUGCAAAGACCAGCUGCCACUCACCACCAAGGCAGCAAGAGCCUCCCCGCCUUCAAAAAAUCAUAUGUAAGUGAUUUGUCUUCUAUUUAGUUUCGCGUUUAAUGUAUGCUUGAUUACUCACCCUCGGUCGCUUUUCUCGUAGGAGGCUGCACACCCGGACGAGGAGGUGUCCAUGUUCACGGCUUGGGCUGCGUCUCACCAGACUGCAGGCCAACGGACCUGGGACGCAGCUGCCCCUCGCGAGGCGUACUCCGACCCCAACGUGUACGAUAAGGUCCAGGAGUACACGUUGGCGGUACGGGAGCGGCACGGGCCAGAGUACGACGUCCGCACCGAGCCACUAGAUGCCGAGGCCAUCAUGAGGCUCGGUGGCGGUAGGUAGCACGGCCGGGCCUGGAUCGCAACACCACCCCCACUCUCAGCCAGCUCAGAGCACAGAGCACGAGCUCCAGCCAGCCCAUCCGUGCACGGCCGACUCCGACAGUGAGCAUGUUAGCUUCGCUCUAGGUAAUUCUAGGUUCACUUAUAGUAAAUUAAUAUUCUCGCAACUGAAUUACAUUUACAUUACUGAAACAUUGGAGUGUAAUCUUGCAGGCCGACAACGCCCAGAAGACGGAGCAGAUCACGGCCCUCACUGCUCGGCUGGAGGCUGAGCGUCUCGCGCGAGAGGCGCAGGACCAGAGGAUGGUUUAGAUGAUGAGGGCCCUGGCCGCUCUGGGGCAGCAUACUGGUGUGGACGUCACGAUGUCAGCUCCAGCGCCUCAGCUGCCGCAGCCGUUUAGUUCUACCGUAAGUGUCAAAGUUAACUUCUUUGUAACUGUAGUGCAGAAAUAAUUACUGCAAUCUCACAUAAACAUCUAACUGUUUGUGCAGCCUCAGUCGACAGCGGGAUCCAAUAACCCGCCUCGUACGUCACCGGAUCCUGGAGCCUUCGACACACCACCCUCGACGCAGAGGCAGGACGGUUGGGGAGGAUGGUGAGUUCUCGCAGCCCUAUGGUGCGUACGUGUCGGCGGUUUGGAACUUUGGUUCGAUUUGGUGAACUUGUGGACUACUGGAUGUACAUACAUGAUGUUCGUGAUAUAUAUAUGUGAUGUUCGUGAGAUGUAUGUGCUCGUUGUGGACUCUGUGUGUGUGAUGGUAUAUAUAUAUGUAUCUGUCUAUUGUCUGGAUGCAAAUAAACCAAAAAAAAUUUAAAAUUUCUCUGGUCUUUGCCGAGGGCCUUGACCAUAGCCCUCGGCAAAGAAUUUCUCAGAAAAAAUAGAAAACAGGUCUUUGUCGAGAGCUAUGAUCAAAGCCCUCGGCAAAGAAUUCUCAAGAAAAAAUAAAAAAAGAGACUUUGCCGAGGGCCUGCAUGGUGGCCCUCGGCAAAGAAAUUACCCAAAGAAAAAUUUUAAAAUCCUUCGCCGAGGGUCCCUGGGACCCUCGGCAAAGAAAUUACCCAAAUAAAAAUUUAAAAAAUUCUUUGCCGAGGGCCCAACGUUGGGCCCUCGGCAAAGACGCCGUCAGUUGCAGCCCGUGGCCUAACGGCAUCUUUUUUUCCCUGAAGGCCGGCGUCAGCCCUCGGCAAAAUAUUUGCCGACUGCCCGACAAACGGCCCUCGGCAAAGAUCCCAUUGCCGACGGGAAAUUUCCCGAGGGCUCUUUGCCGAGGGCAGCCCUCGGCAAAGCCGUUGCCGAGGGUCUUAUAGCCUUUGCCGAAGGCCGGAGGCCCUCGGCAAAGAUCCUCUCUGCAGUAGUGACAGCCACGCUUUGUGUAAGUGUUUUUUUUAUAUUUUCAUAUGCAUGGACAACCAAGAAAAGUUGAUUGGCACAGCCACGCUUACCAAAUAAAAUCUUGUUAAAAAAAAUCCAAUCUCCUACUGACCAUGUGCAGCCAUCCGAAGUUGGGAUUUUCAUAUGCAAUUGUAGGAAGCUUAGGCAACCUAGGAAGAAUUGUUAGUAUAUUAGGAAAUUUCUAUGUCAUUUUAAUUCCAUAAAUUAACAGUAUGAUGAUGACAUAUAUGAUAUUAUUGAUAAAUAUAAACAUGGAAUGAAUCAUAAUUACGACAUAUAAAUAUGAUCCAUAAAGCAUAUCAAACAUCAAAACAUGACAUGGUACAUAAUUUUCUGUAACAGUACCAAACAUAAUAUAGCUAUCGAAACAGAUAAACAGAUCUACUGAAACAGACAAGCAGAUACUAGCGAAACAAUAGAACUGUAGAACAGACGCAUACACGCAGAACUUAAACAUAGCAGGAACAGACAACAGAUAUUUUGCGAAACGAUGAAACAAACCUACUGAAACAGAUAUGACACAACUACUGAAACUGCACGACAGAGCUACUGAAACAAACAUAGACAGAGCGACGUAAAACUGAGGGAAGACGAACAGAUCAUACCCUGAGACUCGUGCAUUCAGAUUUCCAGAACUUUGUCCUUCCUCGAUCGCCAUGGAGUAGGGACGAAGGUGAAGACGACGAACCAAUCACCGGGAAGGAGAAGACGGCGACCGGCAACACCAAGAGACCUCCGGGAAGAAGAUGAACAGCAGCAAUGGAGUUGGGCAGUCGCGUAGACGCUCCCCAAAAACCUAAUUGUCGAUCCCCCGUGCAAGGUCUCGAACGGCAAGGGCUCCGGAGGCACCUGCCCUGUCGCUCCUCCGUGCGCGCGAAGUUACGAGAUGGGGAUUCCUACUUUACAACGGAACUGUGAUCUGUAUGUUCUCUCUUGUUGUACCAAGGAGAUGAGUCUCCUAUUUAUCCUUGUGGCUGGAGAGGAGAGGAAGGGAAGGGACUCCCCUGCUGGCGGCUGAGGAGACGGGCAUCUGAAGGGUUUUCACGCGGAGUUGAAACUCCCUCAAUUAAUUAUCGAAACACCCGCAGAUAAUGAGUUGAAACUCCCACAUAAUUGAGUUGAAACUCCCGUACCAUCAGCCAGCCACUCCAACCCUUGGACUUGCUCCUAUUUGGUACAAUAUAUAUAUUGUCCAUAAUUACACACCAUAGAGUUUAUUGAUUUAUUAAAUCUAAAUGGGUCUAACCCAUAAUAAAUCCAACAAUCCCCACCAAACUCUAGGGUUUGUAAUUGUAAGUGCAUUCGCCCCCGGUGUGGGUUUUGAUAAUUAAUGACAAUCAAAUUAGGAACUAACAUGUCUAUCAAGUGUAAUCUACAGGUGUUAGUUCAUUGAUGGAAUCAAACAAACACACUUGGUGAAUCACAGCACCCCCAAAAUUUCUUCAUUUAAGCGACGUUUCAACUCAAGGAGCUACCUAGUUUUAUUUCUUGUUUGAGUUAUAGGAAACGCCGCACUAUCAAGAGGGAUACAAAUUGAGUCGGUAAGAUGAGGAUAAAAGUGCUCAAGUCUUCUUGGGUCUUGCGCUUGAGAGACACACUUGCACACACGAACUUCUAGAAAGUUUUCUUCUCUGCCAGGGUGAGCCGGUAGUACAGGCCCUCAGGGCCGGUGGUACCGGCAGUGCCAGCUCUUCUCCUGAGUUUUGCGAGAAAUUGAACUACCGGUAGUACCGGGCUUUGAUCGGUGGUACCGGCUACCGCCGGUAGUACCGGCAGGCAAAAAUCCCGCAAGACUCAUGUUUUGCGAGAUUUUGCACUACCGGUGGUACCGGCCUUCCACCGGUAGUACCGGUAGGCCUUUUUCUCGCAUCUUUCUCAGCUUUCUCACGUUUAGAUCUGGGGGCGCCGGUGGUACCGGUGUUUGCACCGGUAGUACCGGCCAGUGUUCUGUACUCUAGUAUAAAUAGCUCUUCCCUCUUUUCUAACCGUUGGCUUGCUCAUUCCAGCUACUCCACCUCUGAGAAAACACUCUCCAAGCUUUAGCUCACCCACUCUCUCUUCCUCUUGCUCCUAGACUUCAUUUCUUGAGAGAUUCGAGCUAGAGAAGUGAGAUUAGAGAGUUGGGAGCAUCGAUCUGCGACUUGAGCUCUCCGUUCCUCGUCUUGCCGGUUUGGUUUGCAUUUGUUACUCUUGGGUUCUUGGAACCCUAGCCGGCUAGGCGUUCUUCGUGGUUGCCCGUGUUGAUUUAUUUGUGAGGGCACCCCGAAGUGUUUGUAUUACCCCUUGAUUCUUAGUGGAAACAUCAAGCCAACCUUUGUGGUUGCUUGAGGAGGAGACCUAAGUGGUCAGACCUUCGUGGUCACCUCAACAACGGGGACGUAGGAACUCCUUAGUGGAGAUUGCCGAACCUCGGGAAAAAUACCUUGUCUUGCUGUGGAGGUAGCUUCGACUACCCUUGUUUGUGUUCUUGGUGUUCCUAUCUCUUUUCUCUCUUCCACAGGUAAACAAAGGUCGAUCUACCGUGUGGAGAAGAACUAAGCUAAGGAGACUUCAACAACACCUUCUUCUACACCUAGGAAAGUGGGGUAAAACUCAGAUCUGAAAUCUAAGCCCUUUACACUCUGAUUUCGUAGCUAUCUUAGGGAGUCGGUAGUACCAGCAGUUUGCGUCGGUACUACUGGCUGUGUGACACCAGUAGUACCGGCCCAAACUGUCGGUGGUACCGACAGGCAUUUGACUUCCGCAACUUGAGUUUUUGAGUUUCAUGUUUUUAAGAUACGCUUAUUCACCCCCCUCUAGGCCAAUUAGAUCCUUUCAAUUGGUAUCAAAGCAAGGUUCCUCGUACAAACGCUUCACCGCGUGAGGAAUAACAUUGGUCAAGAUGGAUCCAACAACUCAACAACAAAUCGUUGAGCAAAUCACAGCACAGAUCACAGCAUCCUUGCAGCUACAGCAGAAAGAGCAGAUGAAGAAAAUGAAAGAAGAGCUAGACAAGAUGAAAGAACUCCUAGGUAAAAGGAGUCUUGAGUCAGAUGGCGAAGGUGGAAAUGAAGAUGCUAGCAAAGGGCCAAAGUCCUACAACAACACUGGGUUUGAUUACAGCAGCUCAAGCAAAAAUCCAACAUUGCCGAUGAUCAAUCCUGGAAAGCCACCUCCAUUUGAUGGUAUAAGGUAUACCGAUUGGGCUCAUAGAAUGAAGUUGCAUCUCAUUGCAGCAAGAUGCUGGGAAGUAGUGGACAUUGGAGUGAAUCCACCGCAAAAUCCAAGUGAGUGGACUUCCGAAGAUGAGAGAGACUUUCACCUCAAUGCAACAGCUGCCACCUUGAUUCUGCAAUGUCUCACUCCGGAAGACAACAACAAAGUAAAUGGUAUGGUGAAUGCUAAGCAGAUUUGGGACACCUUGAAAGUGUCAUUUGAAGGAGACAAGAGUGUAAGAGUAGGAAACAUUGAGCUCUUGCAAAGCAAGAUUGAGAACUUUUGCAUACUUGAGGGAGAAACAACAAAAGCCAUGUUUGAUAGGUUUAUGUCAUUGAUCAAUCAAAUUAGAGCACUUGGAGCAACAACAUGGGAUGACAACUCUGCAGCAAGAAAGAUUUGUAGGGUGUAUAGACAAAGGAACAACAUGCUCGCAUCCGUUAUCAUGGAGAAAGACAACUAUCAUACUAUGACUCCUCAAGAAAUGCUAGCAAAGUUGAUGCACCAUGAAGUCUUGGAUGAUGAAGCCAAAGAAGCCCUAAAUCAAAGAAAGAACAUAGCACUCACAGCUUCACAUGGAAGUGAGUCAAGUCAUUGCAACAAAGGAUGUUGUGAGCAUAAGCACAAAGAGGAUGAUGAUCUCGAUGAAGAACAAGCUAUGCUAGUGGGAAACUACAAGAACUAUCUGAGAAUGAAGAAAGAUAAGAUGAGGAGAUACGGAGGAAGCAAGCCAUAUAGGAAGAGGUUUUGCUAUGAGUGUGGUGACACCGGCCAUCUUGCAGCAGAUUGUCCAAAUAAAGGAAAGAAGUCAAGGUACACCAAACAAAAUGACAAGAAGUACAAAGACAAGAAGAAAGGGGAAGCUCACCUCGGGCAAGAAUGGCAAUCGGACAGUGACAGUGAUGAUGAUGACAAUGAGAAGAAGAGUGUAGCUGCCAUCGCAGUACAAGAAGGAUCCUCCCCAAACAAGAUCCUCACCAACGUUGCCUCAUCAACAGCACUCAUCUCUGACAUCCAUUCAUCGCCUAGGCUCUUCGCCAACCUCUCCGAUGAUGAUGAUGACACCCCUACAUGCCUUAUGGCAAAAGGAGAUAAGGUACAAGCUGACUUCUCUCCUCAAACCACUAGUGACUAUAAUAGUGAUAAUGAAGAUGAUGAAAACUAUGCCAACAAUCUCAUUAAGAAAUAUGGUAAUGCUGCUGCAACUAAAAUUCUAAAACUAAUAUACGCUAAUGACAAGCUUGAGUCAUGCAUCGAGUCGCAAGGGGAAUUGCUCCUAGAGGAAAGGGAGAAGAACCAAGGGCUCGAAGUAUGUCUCUCCAAGGAAAAGGAGAGGGUUGAGAAAUUGGGUGUGGAAUUGUCUUUAGUCAAGGACUCCAAUGAGCGAUUGACUAAGGAACAUUCUUUACUCAAUGGAUCUUUGGCUAGCCUAAAGACUAAUCAUAGUUUGGCUCAAGAAAGCCUCACAAGCUUGACAACAAAAUAUCAUGAGCUUGAACAAAACUAUGAAAAGCUUUGGACUAGCACCUCUACCAUUUCCAAGGAUUCAAAAGCCUCCACAAGUAAAAGCUGUGAAAGAUGCAUAAAUGUUGAUAUAAAUGCUUGUCUCACUAACCUUGAUGAGUUAGCCAAGAAGGACAAGGAGAUCCAAAGAUUAAACACAAUUGUCAAGAUUGGUUGCAAGUGCAAGGACAAGCAACCGGCAAAUGUGUUCAAGGCAUCAAGGCACCCCAUAAUCAAGGAUGGCCUCGGAUACAGCAGGUAUAAUGGUAGAGCCAAUGGAAGAAACAUGAUAAAUGGGGUGGCGUGUGUGAAGUUCAACAAGAGUGUGCCUCUUGUUGACCUUAUUGACAAAGUGAACAAUGUUGUCACUCCUACAAUCCCACUUGAAAGCAACAAGAACAUCAAAAAGAAGCAAAGGGAAAUGCCCAAGCAACAAGAGCCUAUCUCACGCAAUCAUAUCUGUGAUUACAUGUGUUGUUGGGAUGAGGAUGGCAAGAUUGUUGUGAAGUAUGUGGGCGCCCUCAAGAAGAGACAAAUCUUGAGGAGUGUUUGGGUGCCCAAAUCUUAUGUGUCUAACCCCCUAGGUUCCAACUCGGGACCUAAAACAAAGGCUUAAUCUUAUCUUGUAGGUUUAUUCCUCCGGUGGGCCAAGUUGGGUGCUCGAUAGUGGAUGCACCAAUCACAUGACCGGAGAGAAGAGCAUGUUCACCUCCUUUCAACCAAAUCAAACCACAAGUGAAAGGAUUGUGUUUGGUGACAAUAGUAAAGGAGAUAUCCUUGGUUUAGGUAAAAUAGCAAUUUCAAAUGAUAAUUCCAUUUCGAAUGUUUUGCUUGUGGAUUCGUUGGGAUACAAUUUGUUGUCCGUCUCACAACUUUGUGAGAAGGGUUACAAUUGUCUCUUUACGGAUAAGGGUGUGGAAGUCUCUAGAAGGUCGGAUUCCUCUAUUGCUUUUACGGGUCAACUAAAGGGCAAGCUCUAUCUAGUUGAUUUUUCAGCUAGUAGAGUGGGGUCCGAGACUUGUUUAGUGGCAAAAUCUAGCAUGGGCUGGCUGUGGCAUCGCCGUCUAGCCCAUGUUGGGAUGAGGAACUUGGCCGAUCUUCAAAGAGGUGAACACAUCCUAGGACUAACAAAUGUUUCUUUUGAGAAAGAUAGAAUUUGCAGUGCAUGUCAGGCGGGAAAACAAGUUGGAGCCAAGCAUCCCGCGAAGAACAUCGAGACUACAUCAAGACCACUUGAGCUUCUUCACAUGGAUUUAUUCGGACCCCAUUGGAGGUAACAAAUAUGGUUUUGUAAUUGUCGAUGACUUUUCUCGCUUCACGUGGGUAUUCUUUUUGAAGGACACGUAGAGGUCCUUGGUUGAAUCCAAGACCCGUGGGUUUGCUUGGAUUCGGCUCCUCUUCUUUGUGAAGCAAGGUACAUCUUGAAGUUGCUUGAUCUCCCAAUGUACCUAUCUUUAGGCCGAUUCCUCGCAAUCCUUUCCUUAUCUUAGUGUGUUCUUGCCCCUAGAAUGUUUUAUGUGCUUUUCCCGUGGUCGAUUUGGUCGAUAGGAGGUGAUUUCCUUGCUCCACGGUGCCGCCGGUAGUACCGGCCCUAGGGCCGGUGGUACCGGCCCCUGUGAGCAAGGCAGUUCCUCCCAUCGCCUUGAUCGAUUUCUUGUUACAUUCUAGUAUGGCCUUGUAACGAUCUCUUGCUGCCCCUCUUUGUGGUGUUGUAGCAUGGAUUCCAGCAAGCGCAAGAACCCUCCUCGUGGUGCUCGUCCUCACUCCAGUGAUGCCGGUGGUCGGUCUGCGGACCGGUCGGUGCGUGGUCGUGGAACUCCUUCUCGCAGUUCGGGUGCGGCUGGUGCUUCCACUGGUGAUGAGGGCAUUCCUGCCCCUCUUCACACCCACACCAUCCCGUGUCUGCCUCCUUCCCAUCAAGCUAGAGUUCGAAGUCAAGCUGUGCCUGAUCCUGUGCAAGAGGAGGGCAGAUCCAUGGACCCCAAUGUCCUUCGUCGCUCCCCUCUGCAUCUCAGUGAGGUUGGUGCUCGCCGGACUCUCCAAUGGCAUCCUCAGUUCAAUGCUCAUGUCCGGAGGCCCUCUAUUCCCUCUGGUACGUUGCCCCGUUUUGGUAUUGAUUACAAGAAGCGUCUUACGGACUUAAGAACUCAGCGCAGCGAGAACCCGUACAAGUUCAUCAAGUUUGAGGGAGUUGAGGAGAGGUUUUGGUCUCAGUUUCACAAUGACUUUAUGAGUCCGUCCUCUACAAGGGCAGCAAAGCCACCAAGAAUGGACCUCUUUUUCAGCACAAGUAUGUGGUCCUCAAGUCCUUACAAGAUUUCAAUCAUCCGGAGGUCACUGCUUUGAUUCAAAGGCUUGAAGAAUGGCGUAUUCUUCCUCUUAUGACUCUUGAGAAGAAUUGGAAUGAGGAGAUCUUCUUUCAGUUUUGGGCAACUUUGUGGGUCGAUCAAGCCUCUAGGGUGCUGCAUUGGAUGACUCAAGGUGUUCACUAUCGCCUUGAUUUUAUCACUUUCUCUCGUUUGCUUGGUUUUGAUCACUUGGAUCGCGAUGCACCCCGGCUGUCUACCAUUUUUGCUGAGGGGAUUUCUGAGGCUGACAUUGAUGCUGCUGAAAUGUACAAGCCAGGAGCUCAUCCGGAUCUCAAGACCACUCACCUGAAGCCUUACUUCUAUGUGCUGAACAACCUGAUCCGCUACACCAUUGACCCAAAGUUUGGAGAUUCCAUUCACCUUCGUCAAGAUGCUCCUAAGAUUUUGGCUCGCUUUGGUGCUAAUGGUGGCCGCUUUGCUGUCUCGGAUUUCAUGUGGAACAAGAUUGCUGAUGCGUCCGUGGAUCCCAACAAGUACCUGCCCUAUGCUCCAUAUCUGAUGCAUAUUAUUGAGCAAGUGACUGGCAUGCAGUUCUCGCACCCUUGCAUUCAUGCUCCGGUCCGUGUUGGGUCCUCCUCAUGCUCCUCCUCUCAGUCCUGCUGGUGCUGCUACUCCUGGUGCUGCUACCCCUGGUUUUGCCACUCCUGCUGGUGCUGCUGAUGCUCAUGGUGAAGAUAUUCCUCCUCAGGGAAGCGGUCGUGGUCGCCGCAGUCCUACCCAUCAUGCGUUGCAGCGGUUCUUCUCCUAUUUUUGCUAUUGCCAAAAGAAGACCGAUCAGCGUCUCCGUCGUCUUGAGGAGAAGGCAGAUCUUCCUCCGUCCUCUCCUCUUCGUGAGUUCCAGGAUCCCUAUGCUGAAUAUGACAACAUGCACCGGACUUCGGCUGAUGACGAUGAGGAGCAGCAGGAUCCUCCCUCUACUUUUGAUCCAGCCUAUGGUGGUGGGAUUCCUGCUAGUUUCUCAAUGGAGGACACCGAGGCUGGCUUUGCUUAUCAGGAUCUCUUUGGAGCUGCGGACGAUGUUACCAGGGCCUCUGUUUCUGUUGCACCACCUCAUGAGCAGUCUACCUCAGCUGAUCCUCAUGGUAAGGGUCCAUUGCGCACCUUCAUCGACUACAGCAGCGACGACGACGACGACGACCUUGGUGGUGAUGACGAGUAGUCUUUCUAGCUCUUACUCGCAGCCUACCCUUUUUGGCACUUGCUGCCAAAGGGGGAGUGUUAGGCUUAUCUUUGCUGUAAUAAGUUAGUUUGGUGCCGUCUUAAACUUUCUUAGUGAUGAACUAUGUGUGGUGAACAAGAACUAAGUUCUGUGAUGGAUGAUUGUAAGCUAAACACUUUUAUUUCUCAUUAUAUCCUGCUUGUGUUAGCUUCUUUAGAAUUUUGUUGGUGCAAUGUUGUUUUUGAAUGGUUAUUGUGAGUUCCUUGGUUCGUGCACAAUCAUUCAAAUUCUUCUUUUACUCUUUGUGAUAUAUCCUGUCAUACGCAUCACGGUUUAUUUCUUGUCACACUCACACUCUUUUAGGCACCCCACGGAUUGCAAAAUUUAGGGGGAGCUUGAUCUUAAUGUAUGCCAUCUUGAUAUUAAUCAAGAUUUGAAAUUCCAAAUUCAAUGCAUACAUUAAGGGGGAGCCCAACAUAAUUUUUGGAAUUCAAAAGCUCUACUUUUUUUCAAUCCUUUAUAAGCCUAAGUUGGUUGUCAUCAAUUACCAAAAAGGGGGAGUUUGUAAGUGCAUUCGCCCCCGGUGUGGGUUUUGAUAAUUAAUGACAAUCAAAUUAGGAACUAACAUGUCUAUCAAGUGUAAUCUACAGGUGUUAGUUCAUUGAUGGAAUCAAACAAACACACUUGGUGAAUCACAGCACCCCCAAAAUUUCUUCAUUUAAGCGACGUUUCAACUUAAGGAGCUACCUAGUUUUCUUUUUUGUUUGAGUUAUAGGAAAUGCCGCACUAUCAAGAGGGAUACAAAUUGAGUCGGUAAGAUGAGGAUAAAAGUGCUCAAGUCUUCUUGGGUCUUGCGCUUGAGAGACACACUUGCACACACGAACUUCUGGAAAGUUUUCUUCUCUGCCAGGGUGAGCCGGUAGUACCGGCCCUCAGGGCCGGUGGUACCGGCAGUGCCAGCUCUUCUCCUGAGUUUUGCGAGAAAUUGAACUACCGGUAGUACCGGGCUUUGAUCGGUGGUACCGGCUACCGCCGGUAGUACCGGCAGGCAAAAAUCCCGCAAGACUCAUGUUUUGCGAGAUUUUGCACUACCGGUGGUACCGGCCUUCCACCGGUAGUACCGGCGCUGGCCGGUAGUACCGGUAGGCCUUUUUCUCGCAUCUUUCUCAGCUUUCUCACAUUUAGAUCUGGGGGCGCCGGUGGUACCGGUGUUUGCACCGGUAGUACCGGCCAGUGUUCUGUACUCUAGUAUAAAUAGCUCUUCCCUCUUUUCUAACCGUUGGCUUGCUCAUUCCAGCUACUCCACCUCUGAGAAAACACUCUCCAAGCUUUAGCUCACCCACUCUCUCUUCCUCUUGCUCCUAGACUUCAUUUCUUGAGAGAUUCGAGCUAGAGAAGUGAGAUUAGAGAGUUGGGAGCAUCGAUCUGCGACUUGAGCUCUCCGUUCCUCGUCUUGCCGGUUUGGUUUGCAUUUGAUACUCUUGGGUUCUUGGAACCCUAGCCGGCUAGGCGUUAUUCGUGGUUGCCCGUGUUGAUUCAUUUGUGAGGGCACCCCGAAGUGUUUGUAUUACCCCUUGAUUCUUAGUGGAAACAUCAAGCCAACCUUUGUGGUUGCUUGAGGAGGAGACAUAAGUGGUCAGACCUUCGUGGUCACGUCAACAACGGGGACGUAGGAACUCCUUAGUGGAGAUUGUCGAACCUCGGGAAAAAUACCUUGUCUUGCUGUGGAGGUAGCUUCGACUACCCUUGUUUGUGUUCUUGGUGUUCCUAUCUCUUUUCUCUCUUCCACAGGUAAACAAAGGUCGAUCUACCGUGUGGAGAAGAACUAAGCUAAGGAGACUUCAACAACACCUUCUUCUACACCUAGGAAAGUGGGGUAAAACUCAGAUCUGAAAUCUAAGCCCUUUACACUCUAAUUUCGUAGCUGUCUUAGGGAGUCGGUAGUACCAGCAGUUUGCGUCGGUACUACUGGCUGUGUGACACCAGUAGUACCGGCCCAAACUGUCGGUGGUACCGACAGGCAUUUGACUUCCGCAACUUGAGUUUUUGAGUUUCAGGUUUUUAAGAUACGCCUAUUCACCCCCCUCUAGGCCAAUUAGAUCCUUUCAGUAAUGAUGAAGCAUCAGAACCACAAUUCUUUAAUAUAUCAGUGUUUCGAUGGAAACUGUUAAGUUGAACAUCCAUCUAGAACAAGAGUUUCACCCACUCACAACUGAACAAUGGACUAUGCCUUGAAUUGACAGUUUUGUGCAAGAUGAGGUCCACUCAAGCCCUUUGCUGAUACUUGGCUGCACAAGGCAUCCCCGUUGUUUGAAGCAUAUAAGUCACACUUCAGUGCCUUUCAUGAGUAUUUAGGGAUUACCCAAGUCCCAUAGACUGUGACUAGCAGUCUGACUCAUAUAGGUGUACUCCUUCAUAGAUGUUCUAUAGGACAACAUCUCACCUUUGGAAUACAUUAAGGUAAAAACCAACCUGCCUUACAGAUAGGAAAGAUGAGCAUCAGAGAUGAGUCAAGAAAAUGAUCUUUCCUCUCAAUCUACUCAUAGCUUGUUUCACCACUCUACUUCACGGGAUCUCCGAUCACACAGAGCAGGUUACCACUACAGUAGAUUAACUUGUGGGUCUCAUACUCAUCUCUCUUGAUGCACUUUCUAUCACAUUGCGUGAUAGACCCUUGGUGAAUUGAUCUGCCAGAUUAUUCGACGUAUGGACAUAGUCCACCGUUAUAACUCUAGAGGUUUUCAACUUUCUAACAGAUUUUAAUCGUCUCUUAACAAGCUUUGUAGACUUCAUGUUAUUCCUAGAACUGUUGACUUUAGUAAUCACUGUUUGGUUGUCACAGUUCAUGGAUAUAGCCGGUAUCGAUUUUUCAACUACCGAUAAAUCCAUCAGGAGUUCACGAAGCCACUCGGCCUCAGCCCCAGCAGUGUCUAACGCUGUGAGUUCUGCUUCCAUUGUAGACUUCGUUAAGAUAGUCUGCUUGCAAGACUUCUAGGAAACAACACCACCUCAAAGCAGGAACACAUAUCUGCUCGUGGAAUAAAGCUCAUCAGCAUCAGAGAUCUAGUUGGCAUCACAAUAGCCUUCCAACACUCCAGGGUUUUCGGUAUAGUGAAUACCGUAGGGCAUAGUCCCUUUCAGGUAGCGCAACACUCUCUCAAGAGCACGCCAGUGAUCAUCUCCCGGUUUUGACACAAACCGACUCAGCUUGCUCACAGCAUAUGAAAUAUCAGGUCUCGUUGCACUCGCAAGAUACAUAAGCGAGCCAAUGAUCUGGGAGUAUGUUAAUUGAUCCCUUGCUAUUCUUCGAUUUUUCCUCAAUAGCACACUAGGGUCAUAGGGCGUGGGAGCAGGAUCAUAGUCACUAAACCCAAAGCGACUUAAUACCUUUUUCAGAUAAUGGGAUUGUAACAAAGUUACCCCACCAUCACCUUCUCUGAUAAGCUUGAUGUUAAGAAUGACAUCAGCUUCUCCCAAAUCUUUCAUAUCAAAAUUACUUGAUAGAAGUUUCUUUACUUCCUCAAUCACAUUGAGAUUAGAUCCGAAUAUCAAAAUGUCAUCAACAUAAAGGCAUAGCAUAACAACCUCACCCCCACCAUAUCGAUAAUACACACAAGUGUCAACUUCAUUCACAACAAAGCCAGUAGCUAUAAGUGUACUAUCAAACUUUUCAUGCCAUUGCUUAGGUGCUUGCUUUAGGCCAUAUAAUGAUUUUAACAGCCUACACACCUUGCUUUCUUGACCAUCCGCAAUGAACCCUUCUGGCUGAUCCAUAUAGAUCUCCUCAUCUAACUCUCCAUUAAGGAAAGCCGUCUUAACAUCCAUCUGAUGAAUGAUAAGACCGUAUGAAGCUGCCACAGCAAUCAAAGUGCGAAUUGUAGUCAAUCGAGCGACCGGUGAAUAGGUGUCAAAGAAAUCUUCCCCCUCUUUCUGGGUAUAUCCUUUGGCCACCAGCCUUGCCUUGUACCUCUCAAUUGUACCAUCAGGCCUAAGCUUUUUCUUGAAGAUCCAUUUGCAGCCUAUAGGUUGACAGCCAUAGGGAUGGUCAACAACCUCCCGUGUUCCAUUGGACAUAAUAGAUUCCAUCUCACUCCUUACUGCCUCCUUCCAUAAGUCGGCAUCAGGAGAGGAAUAUGCCUCAACAAUAGUAGUUGGCGUGUCUUCCACAAGGUACACUAUAAAGUCAUCACCAAAGGAUUUUACAAUCCUCUGUCUCUUGCUUUUUUGAGUGACUAUAGUGUCAUCCUCCUCAGGGAUGUGCAUGUGAGUCUCCUCAGCAUGAUCUAUAGGAAUAGACAAUUCUUGCUCAUGGAGUAUUAUAGUCUCAUGACUUAUUUUACUAGGUGUAUUUUUCAUGGGAAACUCAUUCUCAAAAAAAUGUAGCGUCUCUCGAUUCCAUGAUAGUAUCAACAUACAUAUCAGGCACAUCAGAUUUUAUAAUUAAGAACCUAUAUCCAACGCUGUGGAAAGCAUAACCAAGGAAAAUACAAUCAACAGUUUUAGGUCCUAAUUUACGCUUCUUGUUGAAUGGCACAUUCACCUUUGCCAAACAACCCCAAGUGCGUAAAUAUGAAAGAUUUAUUCUCUUCUUUUCCCAUUCCUCGAAUGGAGUGAUCUCUUUGUUUUUAGUAGGAACUCUAUUUAGGACAUGACACGCGGUCAAAAUUGCCUCGAAUAUUAGGCAAUUUCCAUGUCAUUUUAAUUCCAUAAAUUAACAGUAUGAUGAUGACAUAUAUGAUAUUAUUGAUAAAUAUAAACAUGGAAUGAAUCAUAAUUACGACAUGUAAAUAUGAUCCAUAAAGCAUAUCAAACAUCAAAACAUGACAUGGUAUAUAAUUUUCUGACAGUACCAAACAUAAUAUAGCUAUCGAAACAGAUAAACAGAUGUACUGAAACAGACAAGCAGAUACUGGCGAAACAAUAGAACUGUAGAACAGAGGCAUACACGCAGAACUUAAACAUAGCAGGAACAGACAACAGAUAUUUUGCGAAACGAUGAAACAAACCUACUGAAACAGAUAUGACACAACUACUGAAACUGCACGACAGAGCUACUGAAACAAACAGAGACAGAGCGACGUAAAACUGAGGGAAAACGAACAAAUCAUACCCUGAGACUCGUGGAUUCAGAUUUCCAGAACUUUGUCCUUCCUCGAUCGCCAUGGAGUAGGGACGAAGGUGAAGACGACGAACCAAUCACCGGGAAGGAGAAGAUGGCGACCGGCAACACCAAGAGACCUCCGGAAAGAAGAUGAACAGCAGCAAUAGAGUUGGGCAGUCGCGUAGACGCUCCCAAAAAACCUAAUUGUCGAUCCCCCGUGCAAGGUCUCGAACGGCAAGGGCUCCGAAGGCACCUGCCCUCUCGCUCCUCCGUGCGCGCGAAGUUACGAGAUGGGGAUUCCUACUUUGCAACGGAACUGUGAUCUGUAUGUUCUCUCUUGUUGUACGAAGGAGAUGAGUCUGUUAUUUAUCCUUGUGGCUGGAGAGGAGAGGAAGGGAAGGGACUCCCCUGCUGGCGGCUGAGGAGACGGGCAUCUGAAGGGUUUUCACACGGAGUUGAAACUCCCUCAAUUAAUUAUCGAAACACCCGCAGAUAAUGAGUUGAAACUCCCACAUAAUUGAGUUGAAACUCCCGUACCAUCAGCCAGCCACUCCAACCCUUGGACUUGCUUCUAUUUGGUACAAUAUAUAUAUUGUCCAUAAUUACACACCAUAGAGUUUAUUGAUUUAUUAAAUCUAAAUGGGUCUAACCCAUAAUAAAUCCAACAAGAAUGUCACAAAAGAAAGAAUGGCAAGACCUAACACUCCACAGAGGCCAACCAGGGAGGAAAUCCUACGUGAUAGUUCAGGAAGAGUCACUAGAAGGCAAGGAAUAUUAACACAUUGACUGUAUAUAAUAAUUGUUUUAUAUACACAUCGCUUAUAAUUUGUGCAAAAAUUUAUGAUCACGGUCAGCCAUUGCCAGGUGGCGGCCACCUGCCCAGCCACAUACGUACAGCAAGACAGGCAGCCGCGGCCACCAGCGCAGCCUAGACAGGCAGCCACCACGUUAGGACUUUAAACGGGUAGCCAUGGGCAAAAGAGUCAUUGUCAUGGCCAAAUAUAUGUAUGUAGGACUUAAAACAUAGUUAAUUAUAUUAAAAUAUCAUUAGAGCUUACAAAUAAUGUUUGCAGUCCUAUUUGCGAGAAACAAAUAUUUGCAGUCCUAUUUAGGUGAAGCCACAACGAUUAGAGUCCUAUAAUAACUAUUUUCUCGUCAGCGAUACCUUAAUUUUUAUGAUAUAAAAUAAUAAAUCUAACUGGGACAUGCUUAAAUUUGAUGAUACAAUAUUAAUAGAACCACCACGCUAGCUAUAGCUUCAUGAAGUGUAUUGUACCACAAAUAAACUGAUCUAUACAUACAAAUCAGAGAUAUGCAGUUAUGAUUUCUAUCAAUAUAAAACAGGGUACUCUGUUUUACAUAUACCUUAAGAAGCUGCUGCUGGCAGUGGUCCUGCAGGUGGUGGCGGCAGUGGUGCUGCAGCCCUUGGAUGGCCAUCUGUAGCACCACCAAGGCCAACGCUUGCACAGGCCCUCAUCUGGGUGAUGCUGCUGCUACUGCUACCCGCCCCGCGCCGUAGAAGGCUACUCUCCAUGAGCACCACCUGCAGCCAAAAUUGAUGAGCUUCAAAAAUACCAAAUGGUUGAAGCAACGUACAAUAGAAAUUGAACAACAUUCAUCACGGACGAAUGAACAUACUAGAUCUCAGUGAUUUGGUUUCGAUGACACCACUGAAUGAAGAACUACAGCAGCAAUGGAGGAUUGGGGAUUUGGGAUAUGCCUGUAGGGGAGGAGAGGAAUGGAAGGGGAGACGAUGGGGGAGGAGUGGAGUGGAACGGGAGAUCCGGAGCCGUCUUCACCUGCUGGUCGGCUAGGCAUGCACGCCCGCGCUAGGCGAGCCGCCCUCGCUGCUGACCAGAGACGAAGAGGAGGAGGAAAUAUGAAACCCUAGGGUUUCCAGGGUUGUGUUCGUGCUUUUAUAGUUACAGG